AUUGAACGCUGGCGGCAGGCCUAACACAUGCAAGUCGAGCGAGCGGCGGACGGGUGAGUAAUGUAUGGGGACUUCGCGUUAGAGGGGGAUAACUACAGGAAACGGUGGCUAAUACCGCAUACUAUCGGAUAACCCAUAUGGGAUUAGCUAGUAGGUGGGGUAAAGGCUCACCUAGGCGACGAUCUCUAGCUGGUCUGAGAGGAUGAUCAUCCACACUGGGACUGAGACACGGCCCAGACUCAUACGGAGGCAGCAGUGGGGAAUAUUGCACAAUGGGCGCAAGCCUGAUGCAGCCAUGCCGCGUGUAUGAAAAAGGCCUUAGGGUUGUAAGGUACUUUCAGCUAGAAGACGUUAACAGCAGAAGAAGCACCGGGUAACUCCGUGCCAGCCGCCGCGGUAAUUC
rnacentral:rRNA from 1 species